UUAACACAGCUGCAUAGUUAUUUGAGAGUUCGGGGGAAAUCGUUAUUCUUUCAACCGUCCAUGCAGUCCAGCAGCUUUCAACAUGCAGUGGAAAUCAGGCGAUUUCGGAAGGGCUGACCCCCAAAUGGACCGUGGAAUCUAGCUGUCUUCAUGGAAGUAACUUAUCACAUGCUGAUGCUGCUUUUAGAGUAGGCUAUCCAUUCAAAAAUAAAGUAAACUGU